rnacentral:rRNA from 1 species
AACGAACGCUGGCGGCGUGGCUAAGACAUGCAAGUCGAACGGACCAUAUGAUUGAGUAAUCGAGAUUAUGGUUAGUGGCGUAAGGGUGAGGAAUGAAUAGGUAACGUACCCCGAAGUCCGGGAUAGCGUCUGAAUGCUUCGGCAUUCUUCCGAAAGGGGCAGUAAUACCGGAUGAUAUCAUCGCAUUUGAGUGCGGUGAUCAAAGAUUUAUCGCUUUGGGAGCGGCCUAUUUCCUAUCAGCUUGUUGGUGAGGUAAUGGCUCACCAAGGCAACGACGGGUAGCGGGACUGAGAGGUUGACCCGCCACAUUGGGACUGAGACACUGCCCAGACCCCCACGGGGGGCUGCAGUAACGAAUAUUGUGCAAUGAGCGAAAGCUUGACACAGCGACGCCGCGUGUAGGAUGAAGCCUUUCGGGGUGUAAACUACUGUCAGGGGUUAGAAAGUGCGCUUCGGCGCAUUGAUCAGCCCCAGAGGAAGUCACGGCUAACUUCGUGCCAGCAGCCGCGGUAAUACGAAGGUGGCAAGCGUUGUUCGGAAUCACUGGGCUUAAAGCGCGCGUAGGCGGAAAUUCAAGUGUCCUGUGAAAUCCCCCGGCUCAACCGGGGAACUGCGGGGCAAACUGGAUUUCUUGAGGCAAGUAGGGGUACAUGGAACUCUUAGUGGAGCGGUGGAAUGCGUAGAUAUUAAGAGGAACGCCGAUGGUGAAGACAGUGUACUGGGCUUGUCCUGACGCUGAGGUGCGAAAGCGUGGGGAGCGAACGGGAUUAGAUACCCCGGUAGUCCACGCCGUAAACGAUGUCUACUAGGUUGUGGAGGUUCUGACACCCUCACAGUCGAAGCAAAAGUGUUAAGUAGACCGCCUGGGGAGUACGGUCGCAAGGCUAAAACUCAAAGGAAUUGACGGGGGCUCACACAAGCGGUGGAGCAUGUGGAUUAAUUCGAAGCAACGCGCAGAACCUUACCUGGGUUUGACAUGUUUGGAUGCUAAUCUGGAAACAGAGGAUGCUGCCCUUCGGGUGAAACUUACACAGGUGCUGCAUGGCUGUCGUCAGCUCGUGUCGUGAGAUGUCGGGUUAAGUCCUUUAACGCGCGAAACCCUUGCCGUUAGUUGCCAGCGAGUAAUGUCGGGGACUCUAGCGGGACUGCCGGUGUUAAACCGGAGGAAGGUAGGGACGACGUCAAGUCCUCAUGGCCCUUAUGCCCCGGGCUGCACACGUGCUACAAUGGCCAGUACAGAG